rnacentral:rRNA from 1 species
UACGAUGGGGGCAAGCGUUGUUCGGAAUUAUUGGGCGUAAAGGGUGCGUAGGCGGUUUGGUAAGUCUUAUGUGAAAUCUACAGGCUCAACUUGUAGUCUGCAUGAGAAACUGCCGGGCUUGAGUAUGGGAGAGGUGAGUGGAAUUCCUGGUGUAGCGGUGAAAUGCGUAGAUAUCAGGAGGAACACCUGUGGCGAAAGCGGCUCACUGGACCAUAACUGACGCUGAUGCACGAAAGCUAGGGGAGCAAACAGG